rnacentral:rRNA from 1 species
CCCUUAGAUGUUCUGGGCUGCACGCGCGCUACACUGAUGCGCUCAACGAGUUUUAACCUUGCCUGGAAAGGUUGGGUAAUCUUUUUAAAACGCAUCGUGAUGGGGAUAGAUUAUUGCAAUUAUUAAUCUUCAACGAGGAAUUCCUAGUAAGCGCGAGUCAUCAGCUCGUGCUGAUUACGUCCCUGCGCUUUGUACACACCGCCCGUCGCUCCUACCGAUUGAAUGGUCCGGUGAAGCGUUCGGACCGUGGCCUUUGGACGGUUCGCCGUCUGUUGGCUGCGGGAAGUUCGUUAAACCUUAUCAUUUAGAGGAAGGAGAAGUCGUAACA